rnacentral:rRNA from 1 species
UACGUAGGGGGCGAGCGUUGUCCGGAUUUACUGGGCGUAAAGAGCGCGUAGGCGGUCGUGUUUGUCGGGUGGGAAAGGCGUGGGCUCAACCCACGGAGGUCACCCGAAACGGCAGGACUGAGAGGGCAGUAGAGGAAGGUGGAAUUCCGGGUGUAGUGGUGAAAUGCGUAGAGAUCCGGAGGAACACCGGUGGCGAAGGCGGCCUUCUGGGCUGGCCCUGACGCUGAGGCGCGAAAGCGUGGGGAGCGAACUGA